rnacentral:rRNA from 1 species
UACGGAGGGAGCUAGCGUUGUUCGGAAUUACUGGGCGUAAAGCGCGCGUAGGCGGCUUUGUAAGUUAGAGGUGAAAGCCCGGAGCUCAACUCCGGAACUGCCUUUAAAACUGCAUCGCUUGAAUCCAGGAGAGGUGAGUGGAAUUCCGAGUGUAGAGGCGAAAUUCGUAGAUAUUCGGAAGAACACCAGUGGCGAAGGCGGCUCACUGGCCCGAUACUGACGCUGAGGCACGAAAGCGUGGGGAGCAAACAGG